CAGCAGCCACGGUAAUACGGAGGGUGCAAGCGUUAAUCGGAAUUACUGGGCGUAAAGCGCACGCAGGCGGUCUGUUAAGUCAGAUGUGAAAUCCCCGGGCUCAACCCGGGAACUGCAUUUGAAACUGGCAGGCUUGAGUCUUGUAGAGGGGGGUAGAAUUCCAGGUGUAGCGGUGAAAUGCGUAGAGAUCUGGAGGAAUACCGGUGGCGAAGGCGGCCCCCUGGACAAAGACUGACGCUCAGGUGCGAAAGCGUGGGGAGCAAACAGGAUUAGAUACCCGUGUAGUCCCUGUCUCUUAUAA
rnacentral:rRNA from 1 species